rnacentral:lncRNA from 1 species
CAAAAAAAAAAACGUAAGUAACCUUUUGUUUCAGCCGCACACCCUGAAUGUCCUAUCUCCUCUCCCGAGACCCGACUUCUUCUCCAGUCACACGCAACACCACAGACCUCCCCUUUCACCUCCCGUCCCUUCUCUGUAAAUUCCAGUGACUAGGACGGAGCUCCGGCGAGCCGCAAGCACACCGGUAAUCCCUCACACCCACACUCUAUUCUCACUCUCUCUCUCUGACGACCUGUGGAGCCGGCAACUGCCGGUAAUCCGGCGAUAGUGGUGAACCGGAGAACGGCGGAUGACGGCAGUGGCUACUGUUCUUUCUCCGGCCGUUUUGUGAUGAAGGUGAUGAUGACGAUCGAUAGCGGCUGCGGAACGUAGAGGUGUUGUUCCGGUUCGGUCAGUAGGUUCAUGAAUGGACGUGGUUGACCAAAACGUUAAAACAAGUAAACUAUCUGCCGAGCAAAGCAAAGGUGAGUUCACUGCACUUUUCUAAGCAUGCGUCCCGGUGGUUUGGGACAUCUGGUAAACGUUUCUAAAGGGAAUACUGGGUAAACUGUUUAUUUGGGAUGUUGGUUAUUGAACACAGUAUAAAUCAUGUAAGACCCCAUACAUCUACCGUGUUGCUGAAGAAGCAACGAGGUAUUUAGUUGAUAGCGCUAUUAGGUUUGGCACCCUCACACCGGGCCGAAAGGACGGGCGUGAACUAAUUACCUGGACCUCAUGACCAAUGCCUAGUUAGAGGCAUUGGGGUUGGGCAUUCACAUCGUGUACAUAUAAGACCCCUUACAUCUAUUCAAGGUUGUUUGAUACCUUGACCUCAUGACCAAUGCUUAAAUGGAGGCAUUGGGGUUGGGCAUUCACAUCUAGUCGCCACAUACGGUAAUCGAGUAAUAACAACAUCAAAACAAAACGUUGAACUGCUCUAAACACACAUCUGGUAACUAAACGCGUUAACAAAACUUUGAACUCACCAGCGUCGUCUGACACACUUGUCUGCAUGCUUGCAGGUCGUUAGAUUGCUUGACAUGGACUUGCUAUCUGGGUGUGCUGGAGUGGUCAUGGAUCGAGACUCUUGGAUAAACAUAUAUUUGAUACAUUGGUUUUGAACACUCAUUAUGAAACAGUUGUUUAACGAUUACUAAAUGCUUCCGCUACACAACUCUUUUGGUUUAAUCUUAUGAUUGACAUUUACUAUUGGCAAUUAAUGAUAUGUUUUGU